UGAGGAGAAACCCAUAUGAACGAAGUUCAUAUUUGCAUGGUUUCGACGGUAUGCCGCCGAGUGUAUGCGAGGGGGCAACACAA
rnacentral:sRNA from 1 species